rnacentral:lncRNA from 1 species
ACCUUGAGGACCUGCUACCGAAGGACUCUCUGGAAAUCCUCCCGGAUUUGGAGAGGAGACGGGUAUGCACCUGCCGCUGAUUGAGGGAGAAUGGACAAGUUGCCAGAAGCUGAAAUAAAGGGAAAGAAUAAGGAUCAUAUUCUCAGCUAUCGCUUUGGAGGUUGAAAAUCACCACUGAGAUUAAAAUGAGGAUAAAUUAGUCAAGGCACAGUCAACUUUCCCUUCCCACAGGAUGGCUGGAGCCAUCAACUGAACUGAACUUGGUAGGUUGCCUUUCAAAAUGUUUUGCUUAAUUGUGGUUUAAUUUAUUCCUAGAGCUGGAAUGAGAGCAUUCUACCUGCUACUUUUCUGUAAUUGCUAAUUAAAGAUAUUAAAAAUGAAAUGUGUUUUAAACAAGG